rnacentral:rRNA from 1 species
CCCGCAAGGGUCAGUCGAGCGGCGAACGGGUGAGUAACGCGUGGAUGACCUGCCCUGAGAUGGGGAAUAACCCGGGGAAACUCGGGCUAAUACCGCAUGAGACCGAGAGGUGAAAGGCGGCUCGCAAGAGCUGUCGUCUUAGGAGGGGUCCGCGUCCGAUUAGCUAGUUGGUAGGGUAAUGGCCUACCAAGGCGACGAUCGGUAGCCGGCCUGAGAGGGUGAUCGGCCACACUGGAACUGAGACACGGUCCAGACUCCUACGGGAGGCAGCAGUGGGGAAUUUUGCGCAAUGGGCGGAAGCCUGACGCAGCAACGCCGCGUGGAGGAUGAAGGUCCUUGGAUUGUAAACUCCUGUCAGCAGGGAAAAAGGGAGGCGACCUAAUACGUCGUUGACUUGAUUGUACCUGCAGAGGAAGCCCCGGCUAACUCUGUGCCAGCAGCCGCGGUAAUACAGAGGGGGCAAGCGUUAUUCGGAAUUAUUGGGCGUAAAGGGCGCGUAGGCGGCCUUUCAAGUGACGGGUGAAAUCCCUCGGCUUAACCGAGGAACUGCCUGUCAGACUGGAAGGCUUGAGACCGGGAGAGGUGAGUGGAAUUCCCAGUGUAGCGGUGAAAUGCGUAGAUAUUGGGAGGAACACCAGUGGCGAAGGCGGCUCACUGGACCGGUACUGACGCUGAGGCGCGAAAGCGUGGGGAGCAAACAGGAUUAGAUACCCUGGUAGUCCACGCCGUAAACGAUGAGUGCUUGGUGUAGCGGGUAUCGACCCCUGCUGUGCCGAAGUCAACACAUUAAGCACUCCGCCUGGGGAGUAC